UCGUCGAUGACAUGCCAUGCGGAUCUUUUUGUGGCCAGGAUUCAAUGGAUUGCUUCAUUGCUUGGGCACGGGCCGGGCCAUUGGAAGGCGGUGGGGUUAUAGGGAUGCAAGAUCUCUGCAACGGUUUACUUCUAAUUUAAUUUUCAUAUCGGCUAUUCAAAAUUCACUUCUAAUCUAAUUUUCAAUUUUUUUUAUUUUUUCAAUAGGA
rnacentral:lncRNA from 1 species